rnacentral:RNase_P_RNA from 5 species
GAAGCUGACCAGACAGUCGCCGCUUCGUCGUCGUCCUUUCGGGGAGACGGGCGGAGGGGAGGAAAGUCCGGGCUCCAUAGGGCAGGGUGCCAGGUAACGCCUGGGGGGGAAACCCACGACCAGUGCAACAGAGAGCAAACCGCCGAUGGCCCACAUAAGUGGGAUCAGGUAAGGGUGAAAGGGUGCGGUAAGAGCGCACCGCGCGGCUGGUAACAGUCCGUGGCACGGUAAACUCCACCCGGAGCAAGGCCAAAUAGGGGUUCAUAAGGUACGGCCCGUACUGAACCCGGGUAGGCUGCUUGAGCCAGUGAGCGAUUGCUGGCCUAGAUGAAUGACUGUCCACGACAGAACCCGGCUUAUCGGUCAGUUUCACCU